rnacentral:rRNA from 1 species
UACGAAGGGGGCUAGCGUUGUUCGGAAUCACUGGGCGUAAAGCGCACGUAGGCGGAUGUGCCAGUCAGGGGUGAAAUCCCGGAGCUCAACUCCGGAACUGCCUCUGAUACAGCACGUCUUGAGUUCGAGAGAGGUGGGUGGAAUUCCUAGUGUAGAGGUGAAAUUCGUAGAUAUUAGGAAGAACACCGGUGGCGAAGGCGGCCCACUGGCUCGAUACUGACGCUGAGGUGCGAAAGCGUGGGGGAGCAAACAGG